rnacentral:tRNA from 1 species
GGGCUCAUCGUCCAACAGGAAGAUGCCGGUGUCGCAAGCCGGAGAUCCCGGUGCGACUCCGGGUGGGUCCAC